AGGAAGCAUCCGAUAGGAUUCUGUCCUUCAAGGAGCUUGCGGUCCCAUCCAGGGACAAUGAAUCAAGAUGCCAUCUAAUAGCAGGGGACCCUUCUAACAAACAAGUGCUGGGAGAAUCUGGGGGUGAAGCAGCUCUUAGAGGCCGCACUGCUGAGGGGGUGAUGGUUCUCCCCACGGAUUCCAGGAGAAAUGGUUGCUUCUUUUGGAGCCAGCUCAUGGGAGGAGCUCUUGUGUCUACUGUAAGCCAAUCACAGUGAAGCCCCAGGAAGGCCACAUGUCUGGGGUUGGACUCCAUAGAUAGGCUUCACUAAUGGGGACACACCAGGAGUGCUUUGUCUUUUCACUGUCCCCUGAACUGUCACUGACACUCAAGUCCUCUGCCAUCCAUAGCGAAACUAAAGUUGCCAGCUGAGAGAGUUUGUCUCUGCAGUUCUUUGCCUCUUUAGUGUUGGGGAAGAGGAGGAAAGAGGGUGAGGAGAGCUCCCGGAAGGGGAGGUGCCUUCCUGAGCCCUCGUCCUCCGAGCGCCCUUCCUGCAGGCCCAGCACUGCUUACCACCUCGCCCACACUGUGCUCCCUCACACAUCCUGCACGCCAUAGCUCGCCAUCUGUCCGCAGCCCAGGCACUGGGAGUGGGGUGUGAGUGGCUGCUAUACUGAACCAAAGGAGACAAAUGAGCAGGAGCAGUGACCCCCCAAGGACUUCUGUCCACCCAUUCUGAUGGCGCCUAAAGAGGAAGGUCUUGCAGCUUCGACCUUAAACAGCUCUAGUGAUCUGUGGAUACCACGAUACGGUUGAGUGCAGAAACUGAAUGUGAGAGCAAAGCACUCUGGGAAGAACAAGGAAGAGCCCGUUGGUCCUAGCAGCACAUGCACACGUGUGUGUGUGUGUGUGUGUGACACGUCGGCAGAUUGUGACCAGGUCUCACAGAGGCACUGGAAAGACAGCAGCUUCAGAUGGUUAAACACAAGAACAUUCUUGAUCACGUGGCUCAAAAUAACAAAGGGAAGCAUGAAACAGCUUUUCUCGGAGGGUCUGAAGAUGGAGAACAUGCACCUAUAGGUGAAGAGGUCUUUGGUGGCCAAGGUAACUCGGUGGACAUUUAUUUGAGCAUCACGAUGUCCUAGACACGGUGCUGGUAUCAGUGAUGGUGCAGGGGCACAGAAGAUGCGUCCUGUUCUCAGCGUGCCCAGGGCUUGGUAGAAAAGGAAGUUGGAGUUGAGGGAUUGGAUUCAAGUUUUCUCAGCCUCCAGAAGAAACAAGGCUUUGGAUCAACACCUCCAAAACAAGAGCACCAGCCCUCAGGGAAGAAGUGUGAGAAAUCUGUUCUUCUACUAAAUAUAAUUUAAAAAUAAUUUCUGUAAGUCCCCGAAGAACACUUCUGAGCUACUUUCUGUACUGUGCUUGAGUUAGUCCUGAACGCGGAGUGAAGCGUGGGGUGUCACAGCUUGGUUUUGGCUGUGCUCUAGGGAAUUAAGGGGGAAAUUUGUGCACACAUCUAGGGCGAAGCAGAGGAGAGCACAGAGGUGUGGGAAGGUGUUUACAGGAUGUUAAGAAACCCACGGUGAAGCCUGGAUCUCAACAUCCACAUCAAGAUGGCUUGUAAGUGGCCAGGCCAGCGCUGGGCAACCAGGAACUCAGCUGCUGGGAAAAGUCCAUUGCUACUCAGAAUCUCCUAUCUGUGGUAAAUGUAAACAGAGCCUUAUUUAUUCAGUAAGCACUGAGCCCCUACUGUGUGCCAAACCCAUUGUUUCAAAUGGCCUGGCCAGCAGCUUCACACUAUGAUACUCUCAUACUGUCUGCUCCUCAAGAGAAAGAAGUCACCUCCGUUAAUCUCUGUUCCUUCCCAGGCUUCUGUCACUUCCCACCCUAGGAUGGGACAAUGGGGACAUCCAGUGGUCACCCUCGCCUGGAAAGUAUACUGUUCAAUCUCAGAGGACAAGGCCAUGGUUAUAGUUUAAAAGGCACACUUCAAAGCCCUGGUUAUUCAAACCAAAAAAUAAAAUAAAAAACAGCACAAAAGUCCCACAUUUACAGUAGUUAACUGCCCAGCCAGGGGAAACCUGCUCCUAGAUCCAGAGUGAUGUUAAGAAAAGGCCAGGUCUGGUCACUGUUAGGACCUAUUUUAACGCUGGCCAGGAGAAAAUCCAUGCAGAAAACAUACACUGUACAUAUUUCCUGGGAGAGGUACAAUUUUCAAAGGCAAAACUAAAUCCACAUUUAGGACAAAAAUGUUUAUCUGCAAGGGUGCAUUUCUACCAAAUAGAGCAGAAUGUAGGUUGCUCAGUGUCACAUUUAACAUUUCUGUCAGAAGCACUGGCUUUCAGUUUCCGGGAGACUUAAGUUUUUCUUUCCUAGAAGAGCGAUAGGUGGUUAUUAUGCUUACAAAAGUGUUCUUUGACUUGCCUAGUGUGAAAGAGCCUGUUUCAGAGAUGAAUUAGUGUUUUACUCCUAACACAUUUUAGCUAUCGUGAAAAACAAACAAUUCCACUGGUCACCCUAUGCUGGGGGUGAGGACUGCAUGCCCCACGAAAAAACAGAAAAGAACCCACCAGAUGGAGUGCUGGGGGACUGAGGCUGGGUGGGAGCCAAUGCCCUGGGCAGGAAGGUGAGGAGAGAGGGACCCUGACAGAUCAAGCUGCACUUAGGAGAGGGGACCGAAGGGGAGGUGACAUUUUGCUUGAGAGGUCAUGGAGGGCUGACAUUUUGUUCGAAUAGUCUGACAUUCACACCUAUUUCAUGUUUUUAAAAAACCCAAACUAUUAAGUGUGCAUUUAAAAAAUUACUAUUACACUUUUUAAAAAUGUGUUUUACAUAUUUUUUCUUAUUGUUUAUUGGUACAGUUUAGAUAUACAUAAUGAUCGCAUUCCUCAUAGGGAAUCUGUACCUCACAUGAUAUAUCUUGAUUCCUCUUUUGUUUCCCAAUCUCCUCUCCCCCCUUCAACCCCUCUUUCUCUCCUUAUUUACCAAGUUUUAUCCUUCUUUUAUAGGUUUUUUCUUUCCUCUUCCUUCCUUUCCCCUCCCCUAGUUGCCCUUCCUUUUGAACAAUUUCUCCCUAUUUUGCCAUACCUUUUAUAUACUUUGGUCCUUAUGUAUAUUAAUUUUCAGUAUCUCAAACCAGGAAAACAAUGUGAUAUUUAUACGUGUGUGUACAGUUCAUUUCACUGAAGAGUGAGGUCUCAAGGUGCAUACAUUGACAAGGAAAUAUCUCAAGUUUAUCUUUCUUGACAUCUGAGUAGUACUCGAUUGUAUUAAAAGAAAACCCACAUCUUAUUUUUUCAUUCCUUGGUUGUUGGACAUUUGGGUUAUUUCCAAGAUUUAGGUAUUGCAAACUGUGCUGCUCUGUAAACAUGGGGGCAUAUACUGCUGUGGUAUGAUGUUUUUAAUUCUUCUAGGAAGAUACCAAGAAAGGGAAUAGUUGGGUCAAAUGGAACUUCUAAUUCUAGUUUUUUGAGGAAUCGCCACACUAAUUUUCACUGGCUGCUCCAAUCUGCACCCCUACGCACAGUGCAGAAGGACCCCUUUUUCCCCACAGUCCCUCCAGCCUUUGUUAUUAGUUGAUUUCCCAAUGAUGGUCAUUCUUUCUGGGGUGAGAAGGAAUCUCAGUGUUGUUUUAAUUUGCAUCUCUCAGAUAACCAGUGAUGUUGAACAUUUUUUCAUACAUGUGUUUGCCAUUUGUUAUUUCUCUGAGAAGUAUGCAUAAAGCAUUGGAAAAAACCUGACAUUGGCUGGGGAUUUAGCUCAGUGGCACAAGCACUUGCCUGGCAAGUACAAGGUCAUAGGUUCAAUCCCGGGCACCAAAAAAAAGAAAAAAAAAAAACAGACAUUCUUAUCCUCUAUCCUAUUUUCAGUUUUAAAAUGGAGAGAAUAACUAAGGAGGGAUGUUGGGUUGAGUUUAAUGUACUAUACUCUACAUCAAAGACAAUAAUUUCUAGACUGUGUCAGAGUGAACAUAAAUCACUGUAUUUCCUAGGAGUUUAUCAUGAAGGCUUCUCUCUUCAUAUCUAAUAUACUCCUGUUACAUACCAUAGUAUGUACACAUUUAAUGAAUAAAUCAAAGCUAUAGGGUGUGAAUUAAUUUAAUAAACUUUGAGUAACUACCUCAUUCGACAUUCAAAUAACAGACCAACUACCCUCACGAAAUAGUCUCAUUUUGUUACUUCAUUUAAUAAUCAUAACAACUCCUGAAGUACAUAGUUCUAUUUAAUACACAUAGAAACCUAAACUCAAAGUAAACAAUUCGAAGGUACAGAUUAGAAAUGAAAAACAAAACAAGGCUGGGUUUGGAAUCAGGUCUCUUGUUCCCAGUUCAUUCGGUCAUUCUUUCAUUCCUCCAGGGAACAUUCCCAAGGCAGGGACCAUGAGCCAUUUGUAAUUUUUUUUUUAUUUUAAAAAGAAUAAAGCAAAAGAAAGCAAAUAAUAAAAUGCAACAAAACAAAACAAUGAGAGUGAUAUUGGAUUUCAAAAACUAGACAGUAGGGCUGGGGGUUUAGCUCAGUGGCUUAAGCGUGGCAAGCUGAGGUCAUGAGUUCAAUCAGACAAUAGGAAGUCAACAGUAGUUACUAUGUUAUGCAUUGUUAUCCUCUCAACAGAUAAGGGCACACACAGUUAAUCAAACAAGCACUAAGCACUGACUUGUUUCUUUACUUGAGUUGCUCUCAUUUCAGGAAUUUCAGGUGUGUGACUUCUGAAUUCUUCUGUGUCUGUGUCUCCUGCACUUGUUCUGGGUGGGCUGGAGGUCUGAGACUGCACCUUGCUCCUUUGUCUUGACAUUUUCCUGCUUUCCUCCCGAUGAGCCAUUUGCUGGGUCCCAGGCACUUCUUGCACUGGCUGCCCAUCCCCAAUGUAGAGGACUGGGCUGGGCCCCUCAGUUCCUCUGAUCUGAAGUUCCUGGAGCGGUGGAGAGGUGCUGGACAGUGGCUCACCAAUGCUCCCCUGUUGGCAGUGGGGCUCAGGGCACAGCGUUCUGUCUUCUGCGUCAUGGCUUCUUCUCUAUUUUUUUUUUUGAGACAAGUUCUUUCUAUGCAGUUCAGCCUGGACUCAAACUCAUGAUGACCCUCCUGUCUCAGCCUCCCAAGUGCUGGGAUUCCAGACAUGCAUCAUCACACCUGCCUAAUGCAAACCUUUUAGAGCCCACUGUAGCAUGUGUACCAUAAGUUUGCUACCAUUCUAGAGUGUUGUUAGUCAUGGUUUCCCCUGGUGAAAUCUCAGUCUAAGCAAAUUACUGCUGAACACUGAGUCUCAUGAAGACAAUUAUUUAGAAAAUAGGCUCAGUUAUUCACUCAGGCCAUUUUAUGGGCUGAAUUAAAAGUUUUCUGUAUUUGUCAUAAGUGAAGAAUUGUUUAGGAAUUAUGACCAAUCAGUUGAAUGUCAACUUGUUCAGUUUUGGGAUUGAGGUUAGAAGUCUUAACCACUAAAGAAGCUGUCACAAUGUCACUCUCUCACCCCAAUCUCUCAUAUACAUUUCAAGAAAACUUACAUCUGAAUCAUAAAACAAAUGUAGCACAGUGCAUUAAAGCCUGCUUUUCCUCCUAAUGACUACUCAUGUGCUAUUUCUGGCUCUGUGCAGUGCCCUAGGCACAUACUUGAUCUGCUCCUUGCUUCAUCCAAUCUGGGAUACCAGCUGUCUAUUGUGCAUUUCAUUGGCAUUGGGCCCUGCUUGAAUCUUUGUCCAUUAAUUUGAAAAUAAUUAUCAGCUAAACUUCCAGAUGAAGACUAUAAAUCUAUUCUCCAGAAAAGAGGUUGAGUUCGAAGUCACAGAAGCUGCAGACCGUUUUCUGUUCCCACUCCAGGUGGCUAGGACAGCUCGUUUGGUGUGAUAUAAAAUGGGUAUGUCACCCAUUGUGCCAUUAGUGUGCCAUGGAAAUCUUGUGCAAAAGAUUAUGGUCUGUGUAUCUGAGGAGAGGAAAAUUUGAAACUCUGGAAAAUAUUUGAAAGGGUUCUUGUUGCCUCCAUAGAAGUUAAUGUUACCACAGUUUGGAAACUUGAGGCUUCAUUAAUUAUUUUUAAUUUGGCAUUGAAAAGUGCAUAAUCUUAUAAUUGCAACCUACCAAUAAACCUCUCUACUCCUUUCUAAUGAACCAUUUUAUACACAACUUGAGAUACAUGAUUAAUUAGGUGACAAGACUAGCUAGACAACUAAGACUCUAUUGUAUAAAUAAAUGCAGGUAAGUCCUGAGUUACAAACUAAGUCCUGAGUUAAGUUCUUUUCUUUCUUGAGAGUAUGGAAAAAUCAGAACACAAAAUUUUUUUAAACAUCAGAAUAAUGUCUGCAAGAAAUGCAGAUGUUUCCCUAACUUGGGACAUACAAGAUUUGGUUUGAAAUGCUCUGAAUUCUAUGGUUACUCUCCUUAAAGAAACAUACUGUCCUACGUUUUUGGUUGUUUUAUUUGCUUUCUUUGCCAAAAAUUCUAUUGAUAAGGAAAUAGAAAAGUCACUGGAGUUUUUACUAACUGAGUUUCUUCAUCUACAAAAUGGAACUCUCACUGGUACUGUUCGCAGAUGUCUUGAGCUCUGGGUGAAUGAUUUGGGGAUGACAGUGUACAAUGUAUGUACCAUUGUUGCUCUCUGAUUGACAUAGUUUCAAAUUUUUAGUUUUUUUCUUUUCCUUGUUUUCCUCGAAAUAAAAUAGAUUUGAAAAAAAAA